AGCAGCCGCGGUAAUUCCAGCUCCAAUAGCGUAUAUUAAAGUUGUUGCAGUUAAAAAAGCUCGUAGUUGAAUUUCGGGAUCAAUAUGUCUGUCGUGCCUUUGGUACGUACGGGUAUAAUUGGUUCCUACCUUCUGAUGAACCUUGAUGCCAUUAAUUUGGUGUCUUGGGGACUCAGGACUGUUACCUUGAAAAAAAUUAGAGUGUUUAAAGCAGGCAUACGCUUGAAUACAUUAGCAUGGAAUAAUGAAAAUAGGACGUUCGAUUCUAUUUUUGUUGGUUUCUUAGGAUCGACGUAAUGAUUAAUAGGGAUAGUUGGGGGCAUUAGUAUUCAAUUGUCAGAGGUGAAAUUCUUGGAUUUAUUGAAGACUAACUACUGCGAAAGCAUUUGCCAAGGAUGUUUUCAUUAAUCAAGAACGAAAGUUAGGGGAUCGAAGACGAUCAGAUACCGUCGUAGUCUUAACCAUAAACUAAUGCCGACUAGGGAUCGGAUGAUGUUAAUUUUUAAUGUACUCAUUCGGC
rnacentral:rRNA from 1 species